rnacentral:lncRNA from 1 species
AUGUGCCGGAGGACAUCACGGGCAUUCAGGGUUUGCUCUCUUGGAUCAGUGGUGAGUUUGGGGGCUGCACAGCCCACAGGUGUGCACACAGUGGGAGUGGGAAGGCGUAUCAGCUCCAUUUUGGGGGAUGUUCUUGCAUUUUCAGAUGUGUCAAGAGCUGCUGAGGUGCCUCACAAGAAGCCGAGAAGCCCUGCCCCAGGAUGCUUCAUCGCUGAGCUCCCUGACAACCCCUGGGAAAGCACAGAGCUCAGCACGGAGGCACAGGCUGCCAGCGGGACCCACAGCGACCCCUUCUGGGGGCUUCCACCAUCCCCUGGGUUCCUGUCUGAGCUGCAGUGUGAGAUGACACGGCUGUGCCCUGUCGUGCCACCAGCGAGUGCCCGGCUCAGUCCGCUGCCAACCACGCUGGCUGUCACCACACCUCCCUCAGCCCAACCCGCACAGCUCAUUGAGGAGGUGCAGCCAAAGCAGCCCCAGGUUCUUCAUGCUCCCUUUCCACCGUCACUGGGCUCUACUAUCUGCCGGGUGGCAGAUAAGAAAAAGAGGGGCAGCACCAAGCGGGCCAAGCGCCCUGCGCCUGCUGACAUGGCCCAGAAAGGGGAGAGUUCCCAGCAGGAGCAGCCCACCAGCAGCGCUCCAGCCAAGAAAAGGAAGCUGCUGCCAAGCAAGGAAGGAAAAGAAAGAAAAGGCUGCAAACGCCCACAUCAAGUGAAGCAGCCUGGGGCCAACACAGGAGCCAGCAGCAGCGGGCAAAAGGGCACUGCCAGCGAGCUGCACGUGCACCUGUGUGAAUCCAUCCAGGCCGUGCACCCGCUGGGGCAGAGAGUGACUGCGGUGGGGCCGGUGCGCCAGCCACUCUCUGUGCAGCCCCAACCCACACCCAGCGCCAGCCCUGCUGCCCUCCAGCCCCAAGGCAGAGGCUCAGCCAAGGCAGUGCCGGCACCUCCAGGCAGCACGGCGCGGAAGGAGAACGCUGCCAAGAAGACAGUGCAGAGCUGCCUGCGCCCAUCACCAUGGAGGAGCUCCGUGCUGUGCAGGGACCCACUGCCACAGCUGCACCAGCAGCAGCCUCGGCCACAGCGCCCCAUGGACUUUGUGCCCUGCGUGGGGCCCCGGGCAGGUGGCCGUGCGCUACCCAGAGUGCUGGAGGAAUCGCUGCCCAUCACAGCCGAGCAGCGGCUCGAGCGGGAGCGCAUGAAGAGGCUGGCCCAGGAGGAGCGGCAGCGGGCGGCCCAGCAGAUGAAGAUCGGCCCCGUGCAGUUCCUGGUGCAGCGGGAGAUAGAAAUGGCCAUAGCUGACAUGUACGGCUACCUGUAA